AUGGGGAAGUCGGAGCCGGAGUGCGUCAACUCGUCGAACCCGGCCCACGAGUGCAACGACUACUGCCUCAACAAGAUCGCCGAGGCCAAGCGCCGCCUCCUCGAAGAGCUCCCCGACUCGUGGAAGGGCCCCCCGGAGGACCGCACCGUGCACCCUGACUGCAUCAACGCCUCCAACCCCUAUCAUGGCUGCUCCGAGUACUGCUUUAAGAAGAUUGCCGACGCCAACGCAGCCGCGGAGCGCGGGGAGUCAGAGAAGCCUGCUGGAGGUUCUGGCAAAUCAGGAGUCGCUCCAGAGCAGGCUGAUGGUGAUGACGAUUCUGGGCGGCAGGAGGACGCUGCCGCCGCGGAUGAAGGUUACCCGCAGAUGACAGAAAAGCAGAAGAAGUUGUUUGAGCUGCAGCUUAAGAUGAACGAAGCUAGGAAGGCGAAUCAGCAGGCGAUGGUUGCGGAGAAGAAGAGGAUGGAGCCUCGUGGCGAGAGCAGAGGCGUAUCUAAGGAGAAGUGGUUGGAAGACAGGAAAAAGAAGAUUGGGAAGCUGCUUGAUUCGAAUGGCCUGGAUAUGUCAAAGUCUUACAUGCUGGAUACACAGGAUAUGGCAGAAGCAAAAUACAAGAAGUGGGAGAAGGAACCUGCACCACAUGGCUGGGAUGUUUUCAACCAGAAAACCUUGUAUGAUGCAUACAAGAAGAGGACCAAAAACAUAGAAGUCGACAUGGAUGCAUACAAUAGAGCGAAAGAAACCGAUCCUGAAUUCUACCGUGAGGCUUCAAGUCUUCAAUAUGGGAAGGUGUCUAGGGUGGCGGAACCAAACAUCGACAGAAUGGUCAAUGAGCUCAAGGAGCGGGACGAGAAGCGGAAGGCGUUCAGCAGGAGGCGCAAGUUCAACGAAGACAAGGACGUUGACUCGAUCAACGACCGGAAUGAGCACUUCAACAAGAAGAUCGAGAGGGCCUUUGGCAAAUACACGCUCGAGAUCAAGAACAACUUGGAAAGAGGGACCGCCUUGCCAGACUAA
rnacentral:rRNA from 1 species